GAUGAACGCUGGCGGCGUGCCUAAUACAUGCAAGUAGAACGCUGAAGGAGGAGCUUGCUCUUCUGGAUGAGUUGCGAACGGGUGAGUAACGCGUAGGUAACCUGCCUGGUAGCGGGGGAUAACUAUUGGAAACGAUAGCUAAUACCGCAUGACAACAGUUAUUGCAUGAUAACUGUUUAAAAGGGGCAACUGCUCCACUACCAGAUGGACCUGCGUUGUAUUAGCUAGUUGGUGAGGUAACGGCUCACCAAGGCGACGAUACAUAGCCGACCUGAGAGGGUGGUCGGCCACCCUGGGACUGAGACACGGCCCAGAAUCCUACGGGAGGCAGCAGUAGGGGAUCUUCGGCAAUGGACGGAAGUCUGACCGCACAACGCCGGGGGAGUGAAGAAGGUUUUCGGAUCGUAAAGCUCUGUUGUGAGAGAAGAACGAGUGUGAGAGUGAAAAGUGCACACUGUGACGGUAUCUGAAGAGAAAGGGACGGCUAACUACGUG
rnacentral:rRNA from 1 species